UGAUAUGCAUACACGGUGUAUAUUGAUAACGCAUGAUAUUAAAAGACGUUGCUGCCGCGGCGCAUUCGACCAUGGCUUGUCGUCGGCUGUCGAAUGGUGGCGUGCGUUUUGCGCGUUUACGUGCGUGUGCUGUUCAUCACAUCAUGUGUAGUGUUUCGACAAUUUGUCGAACGGUAAUAACAGUAGGUCGUCGUUGCUUUCUUCUUAUCGAUCGAUCGAUCGAUCGAUCGGCGUCGAUUUGCUAGUAUUCCCGUUUUGGUGAAGAAUAAAAUAGUUGCUACAUGUAAUAAUUCGACGAUAUGUGAAUUAUUACGCAACAUGUGUAAUAUGUGAUCAUGUGUUUGUAUGCUCUAGUAAUGUCAUUGCUACUGUCGUGUCGAUUCUGUCGAUUUUCAAUGGGUAUCGUUGAGAAUCGUGAUGAGAACAGAUGAGAACGAACGAGCUUACUGUUCGUCGAACGAUGGAUGUGAAUGUGGAGACAGACACACAUAUUUUAUAAUGUGUGUGUGUGUGUGUGUGUGUGUGACAGACAGACAGACUAAUGACACAAUAAAUGUGCUAGACAUACUGCGACGAAUGGCACAUAUUUUUCGCGUAUUGCAUUUGAAAUUUCUAAAGAAUACAACCUGAACUCAGACGUGA
rnacentral:rRNA from 1 species